CUAAGGGUCGCAGCAGUGGGGAAUAUUGCACAAUGAGCGAAAGCUUGAUGCAGCCAUACCGCGUGUGUGAAGAAGGCCCGAGGGUUGUAAAGCACUUUCAAUUGUGAGGAAGGUUCAGUAGUUAAUACCUGCUGUUCUUGACGUUAACUUUAGAAGAAGCACCGGCUAACUCUGUGCCAGCAGCCGGCGGUAAUACAGAGGGUGCAAGCGUUAUUCGGAAUUACUGGGCGUAAAGCGCGCGUAGGCGGACUAUUAAGUCAGUUGUGAAAGCCCUGGGCUCAACCUGGGAACUGCAUCUGAUACUGGUAGUCUAGAGUUUAAGAGAGGGAAGUGGAAUUCCAGGUGUAGCAGUGAAAUGCGUAGAUAUCUGGAGGAACAUCAGUGGCGAAGGCGACUUCCUGGCUUAAAACUGACGCUGAGGUGCGAAAGCGUGGGUAGCGAACGGGAUUAGAUACCCCAGUAGUC
rnacentral:rRNA from 1 species